UAUGGAGGCUGGGUGUCCAUUUGGAGGACGUCACCUGCUCAUGAAUAUUAAUGAGGGGGCUGGUCGCUGUGGAGUGACGUCACGAGCGUUAAGGACACGUUCCUGGGUGAUUAUAGUAGGUAUAUCUGAAAUUUGGGAGUGCCAUUUUCAAUCUAUUUCAACGCGGGAAACGGUAUAGCCACCCACACGCUCUUUUCAAGGACACUGCUGUGUUUUUGGUUUUGUCGAUGGUUUAUAUUUUUCUUCUGUCCCAUGGCAUGAAUGGCUUUGGGUUUAGAGAGACCUUUGUUUAACCCCUAGGUGAGAGAGGGCAGCUUUUGUCAGCAGUCCCCAGACACGAUGAAGAGCCAGCCACUCUGCAUGUUGUCCGCUGGGUUCGUGACACCCCCCCCCCCCCAUUGGCUCAAGUUAUGCACCAGGAGUGACCACACCACGUGGGGGUCGUGCGCCGCAUGCGACUCCCAGGCAUGGUCAAGUUCGGCUCGACGCAGCUCAUUUUGGAUUCGUCAAUAAAACUUUAUUUGGAGGGGGGAAAAAAAAACCGAAAACAUCUGCGUGAGUGAGAGGUGCCCGGUGCACUCGCCCCAUGGCAGCGGAGCCAGACAAGUCCUCCCGACGAGGCGCUGCCACCGAUUUAUAAAAUGCAAAAUCCUGCGGUACCGGCCGUGUGCCCACCCCACGUGACCACGUGUGUGUGUGUGUCUUGAGGUUUGGGGUCCCACCCCCGUUUAACCGUUACAAUCGUACAAUACAACUUUAAUGUAUAGAUUGUCUCAAAUAAAUAAUGUCUAAAGAUGCUGAACAACAGGAAUGCUUUUCACAAUUAAACAUCGGUGGCCGGUUGUAUUAAACCUGGCAUCGACCCACACCGGUGGGUCGAUGCCUCGGUUGUGAGCAGGUCUGGUUAGCUUUGCUCCUCUGGCAGUUAUAUUAUAGCAAGUCUAGUUUUCAGUUUCAUUUAUUUAGUUGAGCCAUUCGGCGCUUGAAUCAUUACAGCACAGGUGAACACAUAGUGAACUCAUUCAAUCAUUACAGCACAGUGAACUCAUUACAGCACAGGUGAACACAGUGAACUCAUUCAAUCAUUACAGCACAGUGAACUCAUUACAGCACAGGUGAACACAUAGUGAACUCAUUCAAUCAUUACAGCACAGUGAACUCAUAGUGAACUCAUUCAAUCAUUACAGCACAGUGAACUCAUUACAGCACAGGUGAACACAGUGAACUCAUUCAAUCAUUACAGCACAGUGAACUCAUUACAGCACAGGUGAACACGUAGUGAACUCAUUCAAUCAUUACAGCACAUAGUGAACUCAUUACAGCACAGGUGAACACGUAGUGAACUCAUUCAAUCAUUACAGCACAGUGAACUCAUUACAGCACAGGUGAACACGUAGUGAACUCAUUCAAUCAUUACAGCACAUAGUGAACUCAUUACAGCACAGGUGAACACAGUGAACUUAUUCAAUCAUUACAGCACGGUGAACUCACAGCACAGGUGAACACAGUGAACUCAUUCAAUCAUUACAGCACAUUGAACUCAUUACAGCACAGGUGAACACACUGAACUUAUUCAAUCAUUACAGCACAUAGUGAACUCAUUACAGCACAGGUGAACACGUAGUGAACUCAUUCAAUCAUUACAGCACAGUGAACUCAUUACAGCACAAGUGAACACAUAGUGAACUCAUUCAAUCAUUACAGCACAUAGUGAACUCAUUACAGCACAGGUGAACACGUAGUGAACUCAUUCAAUCAUUACAGCACAUAGUGAACUCAUUACAGCACAGGUGAACACAGUGAACUCAUUCAAUCAUUACAGCACAGUGAACACAUUACAGCACAGGUGAACACAGUGAACUCAUUCAAUCAUUACAGCACAGUGAACUCAUUACAGCACAGGUGAACACAUAGUGAACUCAUUACAGCACAGGUUGGCUACGUGUUGUACGAAAGAAGUUCAACAUACAGACUUAAGCAUUUAGGUAAAUCCACAAUUUCGGAUGUAUAUUUUUCUACCCUUUCAAAAGGUGGAUAAUCAUUAAUUUAACCAUUCAGUGGUUUAUUUUUUCAUAAAAUGUCAAGUAAUUGCGACUUGAUCAGGGGCAAAUGCUCUUAAAAUGUCAAUGUCGGACGUACGAAAAACAAACGGAGUCAUAAGGGAUUUCCUGCUCCAAUGAGCAGUGACCUACAGAGCCAGUGGUGGAAUUUCCACAUUCCUAUGGCGGGGGCGAGUCUCUUCCAUCGGACAAUCACUGUUAAUUUCACCACAACGUUUGCGACCCGUUUUAGUGACCUGAGGGAUGAUUGGCUGAGUCGACCCACAACGAGGAUUUUAUUGCCCGUCACAAAACUAAAAUUACUGUACCUUCAAAAUUAUUCCCCAUGCGUAUUAUGUUGAAUCUAAGGUUGCCGAAUUUGUGUAACUGCCCUACCUGUAAACCCCUUAUCGGUGCCUACCUUAUUACAGACCGAUUCAGACCUUAUUGGUCACCCCGUACCCCUUAUAAAUCUCAACGUUCAUCCUACAAAGUCCCAUCACAAGGGAGAAACACAAACAAAUAGACACAAAUUAUGUAUGUUUUCCCCGUAUUGAAACGGGUGUGUGCCGUGUGGACUUAACAACUCAAUUUCCCUGUACAAGAAUAACGGGUAAAUCGUAUGGGGUUGACAGGUAUGAACUGCCCAUCUUGGGAAAUUCCACCCACACAAUAGGAAUGUCGGCUAUUGGACGCUUGGUCACACCCGGUGACACUUAACUUCAGUUCAAACUCCCGCCUGUGUUUGUGUUAUUACUACCAGUUGAUAUCCAACCUGAGACAGUCUAAAUGUUUUCAUUUUUUAAGAGGCUCUGAUUAAAAUGGGCUGCACUGCGGCACACACUGCCACGUGACGGUUGUGCUCACGUUUGUGGUGUACAGCGGUGUAAAAUAUUUUUAAAUACUAUUUUCUUCUCACUGUUCAAGUGUUUCAUGAAACUGGUUAUUUCCCCGUUAAAUUGUCUCCGGUUGCGGAAUGCGUAACCGCGUGGGAUUGGCUGGGUGUGCGCGCGUUCCUGUCAUGUGAUGAUGGUGGAAGGUGGUGAUGGUGAUGUUGACGAUGCCACUAUUUGAUAUAAAGCCAGUGUAAUGACUCCCGUCUCUCUGCUUUGAUCUGGUUUAGUAUGCUUGUGGGGUUUUUUUGUUUGUUUAAAUAGUCCAGGAAGUCCAGGGGUCUUGACAGUGUCUCCCUCCCCACUCCCCUUUGUUGACAAUUAGGACACCGGAACAUUUUGAGAAAAACAAUUGGAAAAGAGGCAAUUCCCCAAACCGCGUGGAUCAGGGACCCCCAAUGAGUGGCGCUGCGUCCCAGAAACAAGAUCUGGGCGGCGAUCCCACAUGGGCCCUUACCUGGUCAGGGUGGUCCAGAGCCAAUGGUGGAAAUUUCACAUUAUUAGGUUGCUGACUUCCCCACAAAGCAAGGGCGUUUUAAGUGAGACGUGUCCGUAUUGUAAAAACUUGACCCCUAACUUUAAAUGUGCAUGAGCAAAUGUAAUUCUUGAGUAAUUUGAAAUGUAUUUAAUGUUUGCCAAAUCGUCCUUUAUAUUGCUGCAUGGUAAGUUAGGAUCGUGACUUUGUAUAUACAGCGACUGAAAUAUAAAAUAAACAUCUUAAUUUAUAUUAAAA